GAGGGUAUAGUUCAGUGGUAGAGCACAUGUUUAGCAUGCACAAGGUCCUGGUUUCAAUCACCAGUACCUCCA
rnacentral:tRNA from 1 species